CGAGAUCACGCCAUUGCACUCCAACCUGGGCAACAAGAGCAAAACUCCGUCUGAAAAAAAAAAACAGAAGAAAGAAAUUUUGAAAAAAGUUGCCUCUAUUCAACAGGUCUGCAUUGUUCAGUAUAACCAGGAAACAUCCAUGUUGUUACUAAGAGUCCCUACUUUGUGUCCCUACACAAGAUACCAGGUCUCCCUAUGUUGCCCAAUCUGGCCUUGAACUUCUGGCCUCAAGCAAUCAUUCUGCCUUGACCUCUCAAUGUGCUGGGACUACAGGUAUGAGCCACCAUGCUGUAAAAACUUUUCGUGGAGAUGAGAUCUUGCUAAUGUAGCCCAGGCUGGUCUUAAACUCCCCGCCUCAAGCAAUCCUCCCA